UACAGAGGUCUCAAGCGUUGUUCGGAUUCAUUGGGCGUAAAGGGUGCGUAGGCGGCGCGGUAAGUCGGGUGUGAAAUCUCGGAGCUUAACUCCGAAACUGCAUUCGAUACUGCCGUGCUUGAGGACUGGAGAGGAGACUGGAAUUUACGGUGUAGCGGUGAAAUGCGUAGAUAUCGUAAGGAAGACCAGUGGCGAAGGCGGGUCUCUGGACAGUUCCUGA
rnacentral:rRNA from 1 species